AGCGAACGCUGGCGGCAGGCUUAACACAUGCAAGUCGAACGGGCACUUCGGUGCUAGUGGCAGACGGGUGAGUAACACGUGGGAACGUACCUUUCGGUUCGGAAUAAUUCAGGGAAACUUGGACUAAUACCGGAUACGCCCUUCGGGGGAAAGAUUUAUCGCCGAUAGAUCGGCCCGCGUCUGAUUAGCUAGUUGGUGAGGUAAUGGCUCACCAAGGCGACGAUCAGUAGCUGGUCUGAG
rnacentral:rRNA from 1 species